rnacentral:rRNA from 1 species
UGGGGAAUAUUGCACAAUGGGCGCAAGCCUGAUGCAGCCAUGCCGCGUGUGUGAAGAAGGCCUUCGGGUUGUAAAGCACUUUCAGCGGGGAGGAAGGCGAUAAGGUUAAUAACCUUGUCGAUUGACGUUACCCGCAGAAGAAGCACCGGCUAACUCCGUGCCAGCAGCCGCGGUAAUACGGAGGGUGCAAGCGUUAAUCGGAAUUACUGGGCGUAAAGCGCACGCAGGCGGUAUGUCAAGUCGGAUGUGAAAUCCCCGGGCUCAACCUGGGAACUGCAUUCGAAACUGGCAGGCUAGAGUCUUGUAGAGGGGGGUAGAAUUCCAGGUGUAGCGGUGAAAUGCGUAGAGAUCUGGAGGAAUACCGGUGGCGAAGGCGGCCCCCUGGACAAAGACUGACGCUCAGGUGCGAAAGCGUGGGGAGCAAACAGG